GAAUCUCUUCUAUCAAGAUGAAAACUACAAACGACUGUUUCCAUGAAAGUGAGAAUAAAGGGAUUAAUUACAUGGUCAACAGCUGGAAUUUACAAGGAGGCAAAUUAAAUAAAAUAGCAGACAAGCAUGAACUGCAUUCCCACAAAAGCCAUAAAAUGGGAAUACCAAGAGAACUGGCAAAUGUAAGUCUUCACCUGUUUUCUUGGACACAGCUUUCCACACACAAGUUGGGGAGUGGAAAUUUGUGAGUAGCACACUGUGUGCCACAUUGGAAAGAUUCAAUAUGAACAU
rnacentral:lncRNA from 1 species